CCUCACUCUAGUGACAGAGUGAGGGAGGGAGGUGGUGACUAGUGACAGAGUGAGGGAGGUGGUGAUUAGUGACAGAGGGGGGGAUGGGGUGACUAGUGACAGUCACCACCUCCUUCACUCUUUCACUAGUCACCCCCUUCCUCACUCUGUCACUAGUCACCCCCUUCCUUCCCUCACUCUGCCACUAGUCACCCCUUCCCUCACUCUGUCCCUAGUCACCCCCUCACUCUCUCACUAGAGUGAGGG